rnacentral:lncRNA from 1 species
GUCGUCACUACACUUGCAGAGGAGAAAUUGUGAAGCUUGCUGCGUCGUUUGCAUCGAAACUCACUAGUUCAUCAUCGGCCAGUUUCGACAGUAAGAGUGUAAAACUGAGCUCGAUUCAAGUAGUUCUUGAAGGUAUAAUUCGAACCAUGUGUUAAAGUUUUGUUCUUGUUAUGGUAAUCCAGAGCUACUUGCUGCGUCGUUUGCAUCGAAACUCACUAGUUCAUCAUCGGCCAGUUUCGACAGUAAGAGUGUAAAACUGAGCUCGAUUCAAGUAGUUCUUGAAGGUAUAAUUCGAACCAUGUGUUAAAGUUUUGUUCUUGUUAUGGUAAUCCAGAGCUAGUGAACUGAGUUGGUUGGGCUUGAUUGAGAUUGAAAUUCUGCUUUUCUGUACUCUUCGACAGUUUGGUUGAGUGUGGUGAUUUUGGUUUGAUACGUUGAAAUUGGAGUUUGGUUAUUGUCAUGCAAAUCCGAAGUUAGUAGCUUGAGUUGAUAAUCUGUUAUGGUGGCCUUGAAAUGGACAUUUGGUUGGUUGAAUGUUGUAUAAGCUUGAUUGCGUGUGCAGCAUGGACUGUGUGUCGAUUUGAAUGGACUGUGAUUAUAAAGAUUGUAUUGUGGCAGUGUGUCAAAUGGUGUUCUUGUUAAAUCUGUGUUCAAGGCCAGUUCAAGUAUCAUUGC